rnacentral:rRNA from 1 species
AGUGAACGCUGGCGGUAGGCCUAACACAUGCAAGUCGAACGGCCGCACAGUAAGAGCUUGCUCUUACGGGUGGCGAGUGGCGGACGGGUGAGGAAUACAUCGGAAUCUACUUUUUCGUGGGGGAUAACGUAGGGACACUUACGCUAAUACCGCAUACGACCUACGGGUGAAAACAGGAGAUCUUCGGACCUUGCGCGAUUGAAUGAGCCGAUGCCGCAUUAGCUAGUUGGCUUGGUAAAGGCCUACCAAGGCAACGAUACGUAGCUGGUCUGAGAGGAUGAUCAGCCACACUGGAACUGAGACACGGUCCAGACUCCUACGGGAGGCAGCAGUAGGGAAUAUUGGGCAAUGGGCGCAAGCCUGAUCCAGCCAUACCGCGUGGGUGAAGAAGGUCUUCGGGUUGUAAAGCUCUGUUGUUAGGAAAGAAAAUAUGCAUAUGAAUACCCCGCUGUUCUGACGGUACCCAAAGAGUAAGCACCGGCUAACUUCGUG